GGUUAAGUUAGAAAGGGCGCACGGUGGAUGCCUUGACACUAGGAGUCGAUGAAGGACGGGACUAACGCCGAUAUGCUUCGGGGAGCUGUAAGUAAGCUUUGAUCCGAAGAUUUCCGAAUGGGGAAACCCACUAUACGUAAUGGUAUGGUAUCCUUACCUGAAUACAUAGGGUAUGGAAGACAGACCCAGGGAACUGAAACAUCUAAGUACCUGGAGGAAGAGAAAGCAAAUGCGAUUUCCUGAGUAGCGGCGAGCGAAACGGAAUCUAGCCCAAACCAAGAGGCUUGCCUCUUGGGGUUGUAGGACAUUCUAUACGGAGUUACAAAGGAACGAGGUAGACGAAGCGACCUGGAAAGGUCCGUCACAGAGGGUAACAACCCCGUAGUCGAAACUUCGUUCUCUCUUGAAUGUAUCCUGAGUACGGCGGAACACGUGAAAUUCCGUCGGAAUCUGGGAGGACCAUCUCCCAAGGCUAAAUACUCCCUAGUGAUCGAUAGUGAACC
rnacentral:rRNA from 1 species